AUACUUACCUGGUAGGGGAGACACCUUGAUCAUGAAGGAGGUUUUCCCACGGUGGGGCUCACCCACUACACUCCGAGUGUACUGACCCCUGCGGUUUCCCCAAAUGCGGAUAACUCAACUGCAUAAUUUGUGGCAGUAGAGGACUGCAUUCAUGCUUCCCCUG